rnacentral:misc_RNA from 1 species
UCAACCAUCAAGCUUUGGCUUGCCGUUGGACUUUGCGUAUGCUGGUAUGCCGGCAAUAGCAGGUCUUCAAGGUAGUGGCGGUGUCGUGGCGGACCCCGGAUACAACGAGCUCUCUAUAGCACGUAUCAAGGUGGCCCCCGGUCCAGCCUCACUGGAACCUCAUAUCUAAAA